UAUUUUGUAGUGCAGAAGAAUACUUGUCGGAAGAUAUUCUGACUAAAUCCUCCUCCGGAUUAUAUCUUGGUCCAACCAAUAAUCGUAAUACAUGUCGUUGUUUCUCCUCUAGCAAAGGAAUAUUCGUAACUUUAAAUGUAACAACGACCUUCGGAUUCAUUUUCUCAAACGAAGACAUUUGGACAUCAGAUUCAAACCUAAAGAUCUGGCUAUCAGCAGGCUUUUUAAAAGACUGUGUGUAAGCUAUAAUUGUCAGAGAAAAUGGAACAUUAAGCAUAUUAAAGUGAUUGUGAAAUAGAAUUCCUAAGGUAAAACUACCCAG